rnacentral:rRNA from 1 species
UACAGAGGUCUCAAGCGUUGUUCGGAUUCAUUGGGCGUAAAGGGUGUGUAGGUGGCGCCGUAAGUCAGGUGUGAAAUUUCGGAGCUUAACUCCGAAACUGCAUUCGAUACUGCGGUGCUUGAGGACUGGAGAGGAGACUGGAAUUCAUGGUGUAGCAGUGAAAUGCGUAGAGAUCAUGAGGAAGACCAGUGGCGAAGGCGGGUCUCUGGACAGUUCCUGACACUGAGACACGAAGGCCAGGGGAGCAAACGGG